rnacentral:tRNA from 1 species
GUUUCCGUAGUGUAGUGGCUAUCAUGUUUGCCUAACAUGCAAUAGGUCCCCAGUUCAAAACUGGGUGGAAACA